UCACCCCGCCGUCGAUUCUCUCCUCUUCGACAACACCCCCGCUGUCAUCCAUCUAAAAUUUAGAUAUCCCCAACAUUAGCUCCAGUUGAUGCGUUGGAGAGGUAUACUCAGAUAUCUAGUCAUUCUCUUCAUAGAACAAGCAAACCAGGAAUUUUAUCGAUUGAUAUUCAGUCUAACAAGAAUCUCAUUGCAACUGGAGGGGUUGAUACAAAUGCUACAGUUCGCAUAUGGCAAGGCUCUGAUGAUGGGAACUAUAACUGUAGGCACAUUGUGAAGGACCAUACUGCUGAGAUUGUCCACAGGAGAGGUCAAUUCCUUGAAGGAGGAAGUGACAACCCUAAGAGGUCAGGUUGCGGCCCAGGGCGACCAUAUUAGGGCCCAGGACGAGAGGAUGAAUAUGAUUGUUCAGGCCUUAGCGAUGUCCGGCCUCCAAAUCCCGACGAUGCCAGCACCUAAUGUUGCUCCACCUUCGACUUCCCAGCCAUUUUGCCCCGACGAUACCGAGUAGCAUGAUGUAUUAAACUUAGAAGACUUGUAGUUUUUUAUUUUUUUGUUCGGACAAACAUACAUUUUCAUAUAUUCUAUAAUUAUUUACUUUUUCUUGGUUUA